rnacentral:lncRNA from 1 species
GGAAUCUCCCAGUGUUUGUGCCAUGUUUUGAUCUGACUGAAAGCCAUAAACAUAGCCGAAGCCUGGGCCAUCCACAGAAGACCCAAUGUUCUCUUUUUCCAAGUGGGCAUUUUGUAUCUCUGAAGAGUUCUAGACUGAGCUACAUCAGUAGACCUCUGCAUUUAAAGGGAGCAAUUCUCAUCCGAGGAUCCCGAUUCUUCUACUGUAGUGCAAUUUCACUACUCUCUCCAAAUGUCUCCAAGCAAAUUCAAAGCAGCUGAAAAUAACUGCAUGCCUGAGAGGACCACGAAGCUUCAGGCCAGCCCUGUCCCGAAGUCUUGUGUGCUUCAUGUCGAGUGGUCUGCAGUGGACUGUGUCUGCUUGAAGCGAUGCUCCGGAGGGCUUAUUGUUGUGUGGGGGAAAGCAUGAGAUCACUGAAAAAUGAGAGAAAUCGAGCAUACGAAAUGUGAAGCAUAUCUGUUGACACCAUGCGCUCCCUUUGCUUGCACUGGAUGAUGCAUGGUUUCCGUGCGCAGUGCCUGAGGUGUGGGGCAGGCGAGGCCCAUGCAGCCCGGCUCCUUUCCAGAAGGUUGCUGUUCAUUACAGCUCGAGUGUGCUGGGUUCUGCAAAUACUAGUAAUAAUGAUCACCUAUUCAAGACCAAGAGGUUGAUCCUCCAAAAUUCAAACAAGGAAAAAUCUCUCCCAAUCUCUCCUUUCCUCCACCCCUUUUCUUUGCUUCUCAUCCCAUAUAUAAUAUUAUAUAAUGCAUACAUAAUAAAA